rnacentral:rRNA from 1 species
ACGAACGCUGGCGGCACGCUUAACACAUGCAAGUCGAACGAGAGAAGAGGAGCUUGCUUUUCUGAUCUAGUGGCGGACGGGUGAGUAACACGUGAGCAAUCUGCCUUUCAGAGGGGGAUACCGAUUGGAAACGAUCGUUAAUACCGCAUAACAUAAUUGAACCGCAUGAUUUGAUUAUCAAAGAUUUAUCGCUGAAAGAUGAGCUCGCGUCUGAUUAGCUAGUUGGUAAGGUAACGGCUUACCAAGGCGACGAUCAGUAGCCGGACUGAGAGGUUGAUCGGCCACAUUGGGACUGAGACACGGCCCAGACUCCUACGGGAGGCAGCAGUGGGGAAUAUUGCACAAUGGAGGAAACUCUGAUGCAGCGAUGCCGCGUGAGGGAAGAAGGUUUUAGGAUUGUAAACCUCUGUCUUCAGGGACGAAAAAAGACGGUACCUGAGGAGGAAGCUCCGGCUAACUACGUGCCAGCAGCCGCGGUAAUACGUAGGGAGCGAGCGUUGUCCGGAAUUACUGGGUGUAAAGGGAGCGUAGGCGGGAUCGCAAGUCAGAUGUGAAAACUAUGGGCUUAACCCAUAAACUGCAUUUGAAACUGUGGUUCUUGAGUGAAGUAGAGGUAAGCGGAAUUCCUAGUGUAGCGGUGAAAUGCGUAGAUAUUAGGAGGAACAUCAGUGGCGAAGGUGGCUUACUGGGCUUUAACUGACGCUGAGGCUCGAAAGCGUGGGGAGCAAACAGGAUUAGAUACCCUGGUAGUCCACGCCGUAAACGAUGAUUACUAGGUGUGGGGGGACUGACCCCUUCCGUGCCGCAGCAAACGCAAUAAGUAAUCCACCUGGGGAGUACGACCGCAAGGUUGAAACUCAAAGGAAUUGACGGGGGCCCGCACAAGCAGUGGAGUAUGUGGAUUAAUUCGAAGCAACGCGAAGAACCUUACCAGGUCUUGACAUCGUAUGCAUAGCUCAGAGAUGAGUGAAAUCUCUUCGGAGACAUAUAGACAGGUGGUGCAUGGUUGUCGUCAGCUCGUGUCGUGAGAUGUUGGGUUAAGUCCCGCAACGAGCGCAACCCUUACUGUUAGUUGCUACGCAAGAGCACUCUAGCAGGACUGCCGUUGACAAAACGGAGGAAGGUGGGGAUGACGUCAAAUCAUCAUGCCCCUUAUGACCUGGGCCUCACACGUACUACAAUGGCUGUCAACAGAGGGAAGCAAAGCCGCGAGGUGGAGCAAACCCCUAAAAGCAGUCUUAGUUCGGAUUGUAGGCUGCAACCCGCCUACAUGAAGUCGGAAUUGCUAGUAAUCGCAGAUCAGCAUGCUGCGGUGAAUACGUUCCCGGGCCUUGUACACACCGCCCGUCACGCCAUGGGAGUCGGUAACACCCGAAGCCUGUAGUCUAACCGCAAGGAGGACGCAGUCGAAGGUGGGAUUGAUGACUGGGGUG